rnacentral:rRNA from 1 species
UACGAAGGGGGCUAGCGUUGCUCGGAAUCACUGGGCGUAAAGGGUGCGUAGGCGGGUCUUUAAGUCAGGGGUGAAAUCCUGGAGCUCAACUCCAGAACUGCCCUUGAUACUGGCGGUCUCGAGUCCGGGAGAGGUGAGUGGAACUGCGAGUGUAGAGGUGAAAUUCGUAGAUAUUCGCAAGAACACCAGUGGCGAAGGCGGCUCACUGGCCCGGCAUUGACGCUGAACAGCGAAAGCCAGGGAGCAACGGGG